GAUGAACGCUGGCUGCGUGCCUAAUACAUGUAAGUCGAGCGAACAGACGAGGAGCUUGCUCCUCUGACGUUAGCGGCGGACGGGUUAGUAACACGUGGAUAACCUACCUAUAAGACUGGGAUAACUUCGUGAAACCGGAGCUAAUACCGGUUAAUUUAUUGCACCUCAUGUUUCAAUAGUUAAAGACGGCUUUGCUUUCCUCUAUAGAUGGAUCCGCGCCGCAUUAGCUAGUUGGUAAGGUAACGGCUUACCAAGGCAACGAUGCGUAGCCGACCUGAGAGGGUGAUCGGACACACUGGAACUGAGACAAGGUACAGAAACCUGCGGGAGGCAGCAAUAGGGAAUCUUGCGAAAUGGGCGAAAGCCUGACGGAGAAACGCGGCGUGAGUGAUGAAGGUCAUCGGAUCGUAAAACUAUGUUAGUAGGGAAGAACAAAUGUGUAAGAAACUAUGCACGGCUUGACGGUACCUAAUCAGAAAGCCACAGCUAGCUACGUG
rnacentral:rRNA from 1 species